UCAAGUGAAGAAGCGCAUACGGUGGAUGCCUUGGCAGUCAGAGGCGAUGAAAGACGUGGUAGCCUGCGAAAAGCUUCGGGGAGUCGGCAAACAGACUUUGAUCCGGAGAUCUCUGAAUGGGGGAACCCACCUAGGAUAACCUAGGUAUCUUGUACUGAAUCCAUAGGUGCAAGAGGCGAACCAGGGGAACUGAAACAUCUAAGUACCCUGAGGAAAAGAAAUCAACCGAGAUUCCCUUAGUAGUGGCGAGCGAACGGGGAUUAGCCCUUAAGCUUCAUUGAUUUUAGCGGAACGCUCUGGAAAGUGCGGCCAUAGUGGGUGAUAGCCCCGUACGCGAAAGGAUCUUUGAAGUGAAAUCGAGUAGGACGGAGCACGAGAAACUUUGUCUGAACAUGGGGGGACCAUCCUCCAAGGCUAAAUACUACUGACUGACCGAUAGUGAACCAGUACCGUGAGGGAAAGGCGAAAAGAACCCCGGAGAGGGGAGUGAAAUAGAACCUGAAACCGUAUGCGUACAAGCAGUGGGAGCCUACUUGUUAGGUGACUGCGUACCUUUUGUAUAAUGGGUCAGCGACUUAUAUUCAGUGGCAAGCUUAACCGUAUAGGGUAGGCGUAGCGAAAGCGAGUCUUAAUAGGGCGUUUAGUCGCUGGGUAUAGACCCGAAACCGGGCGAUCUAUCCAUGAGCAGGUUGAAGGUUAGGUAACACUGACUGGAGGACCGAACCCACUCCCGUUGAAAAGGUAGGGGAUGACUUGUGGAUCGGAGUGAAAGGCUAAUCAAGCUCGGAGAUAGCUGGUUCUCCUCGAAAGCUAUUUAGGUAGCGCCUCAUGUAUCACUCUGGGGGGUAGAGCACUGUUUCGGCUAGGGGGUCAUCCCGACUUACCAAACCGAUGCAAACUCCGAAUACCCAGAAGUGCCGAGCAUGGGAGACACACGGCGGGUGCUAACGUCCGUCGUGAAAAGGGAAACAACCCAGACCGCCAGCUAAGGUCCCAAAGUUGUGGUUAAGUGGUAAACGAUGUGGGAAGGCUUAGACAGCUAGGAGGUUGGCUUAGAAGCAGCCAUCCUUUAAAGAAAGCGUAAUAGCUCACUAGUCGAGUCGGCCUGCGCGGAAGAUGUAACGGGGCUCAAACCACACACCGAAGCUGCGGGUGUCACGCAAGUGACGCGGUAGAGGAGCGUUCUGUAAGCCUGUGAAGGUGAGUUGAGAAGCUUGCUGGAGGUAUCAGAAGUGCGAAUGCUGACAUGAGUAACGACAAUGGGUGUGAAAAACCCCCACGCCGAAAGACCAAGGGUUCCUGCGCAACGUUAAUCGACGCAGGGUUAGUCGGUUCCUAAGGCGAGGCUGAAAAGCGUAGUCGAUGGGAAACAGGUUAAUAUUCCUGUACUUCUGGUUACUGCGAUGGAGGGACGGAGAAGGCUAGGCCAGCUUGGCGUUGGUUGUCCAAGUUUAAGGUGGUAGGCUGAAAUCUUAGGUAAAUCCGGGGUUUCAAGGCCGAGAGCUGAUGACGAGUCGUCUUUUAGAUGACGAAGUGGUUGAUGCCAUGCUUCCAAGAAAAGCUUCUAAGCUUCAGGUAACCAGGAACCGUACCCCAAACCGACACAGGUGGUCGGGUAGAGAAUACCAAGGCGCUUGAGAGAACUCGGGUGAAGGAACUAGGCAAAAUGGCACCGUAACUUCGGGAGAAGGUGCGCCGGCUAGGGUGAAGGAUUUACUCCGUAAGCUCUGGCUGGUCGAAGAUACCAGGCCGCUGCGACUGUUUAUUAAAAACACAGCACUCUGCAAACACGAAAGUGGACGUAUAGGGUGUGACGCCUGCCCGGUGCCGGAAGGUUAAUUGAUGGGGUUAGCGCAAGCGAAGCUCUUGAUCGAAGCCCCGGUAAACGGCGGCCGUAACUAUAACGGUCCUAAGGUAGCGAAAUUCCUUGUCGGGUAAGUUCCGACCUGCACGAAUGGCGUAACGAUGGCGGCGCUGUCUCCACCCGAGACUCAGUGAAAUUGAAAUCGCUGUGAAGAUGCAGUGUAUCCGCGGCUAGACGGAAAGACCCCGUGAACCUUUACUGUAGCUUUGCACUGGACUUUGAGCCUGCUUGUGUAGGAUAGGUGGGAGGCUUUGAAGCGUGGACGCCAGUUCGCGUGGAGCCAUCCUUGAAAUACCACCCUGGCAUGCUUGAGGUUCUAACUCUGGUCCGU
rnacentral:rRNA from 1 species